rnacentral:misc_RNA from 1 species
GUGAAUCAUCAAAUUUUUGAACGCAAAUUGCACUCUCUUCGGAGAGUAUGCCUGUUUGAGGGUCAGUAUUAAUAAAAAUCGGUGUGUUGCUUCUUUGUGACGCUCCGGGGUUUGGGUCAUCUUAAUAUCCUUUAGGUUUUAAGAGGCUUAAAAUUGACUUUUUUUUGCGCAUUUUAUUAGAUGUACAUAAAUUUUUUUUUUUUUUCUUUUGUCUUAUUCCUCAAAUCCUUUUUAGUUCCAC